rnacentral:rRNA from 1 species
AUGGGCCGGCCCAACUACGCGAGCACCUCAAUCUUUCGAGCGCUCCACCCUUCAUUCGCUCACUCGAUCGCCUUCACCCUUCAUUCUCUUGCUCAAUCGCUCCCACCCUUCGUUCACUCGGUUGACCGAUAUUUUGGUUCAGUUGGGGUCAUAUGCAGAGAUGACAGAGGUAUGUUCAUGGGAGCGUCGACCCUUUCCUUCAGACACAUUGUGAAUCCCCCGACUUUAGAAGCUCUCGCCGUCAGAGAAGCUCUCGCUUUGGCUGGUGACCUCUAUUUGAGACGCAUUCAAGUUGCAUCAGACUGCAAAGCGGUGGUAUAG